UACGAAGGCGGCAAGCGUUGUUCGGAUUCACUGGGCGUACAGGGUGUGUAGGCGGUUUGGUAAGCCUUCUGUUAAAGCUUCGGGCCCAACCCGGAAAGCGCAGAGGGUACUGCCAGGCUAGAGGACGGGAGAGGAGCGCGGAAUUCCCGGUGUAGCGGUGAAAUGCGUAGAGAUCGGGAGGAAGGCCGGUGGCGAAGGCGGCGCUCUGGAACGUUACUGACGCUGAGACACGAAAGCGUGGGGAGCAAACAGG
rnacentral:rRNA from 1 species